GACAGCUUGGCCGAGUGGUUAAGGCGACAGAUUACUACCCUGUUGGGCAGUUCGAAUCUCACAGCCGUCG